rnacentral:rRNA from 1 species
GGUUGACCCUGCCAGUAGCAUAUGCUUGUCUCUGAGACUAAGCCAUGCAUGUCUAAGUAUAAAUUAAUUUUUACGGUGAAACUGCGGACGGCUCAUUAAAUCAGUUAUAACCUACUUGAUCGUGUGACUUUAUUCGGAUAACCCUAGUAAUUCUAGAGCUAAUACGUGCUAAAAGCCUUAACUUCCAGCAAUGGGGGAAGAGGUGUAUUUAUUAGAAACUAAAACCAAUCAGCUUCGGCUGUGUGAGAUGAUUCAUAAUAACUCGGCAAAUUACGGGAAAAUUCCUGUGAUGAUUCAAACGGAUUUCUGACCUAUCAACUUUAGAUGGCAAAGUAGGGGUUUGCCAUGGUGACAACGGGUGACGGGGAAUUAGGGUUCGAUUCCGGAGAGGGAGCCUGAGAAACGGCUACCACUUCCAAGGAAGGCAGCAGGCGCGCAAAUUACCCAAUGCUAAUUCGGCGAGGUAGUGACAAGAAAUACCAAUGUAGGACCCAACGGGUAUUACGUUUGGAAUGAGAACAAUUUAAAAACCUUAACGAGGAACAAUUGGAGGGCAAGUCUGGUGCCAGCAGCCGCGGUAAUUCCAGCUCCAAUAGUGUAUAUUAAAGUUGCUGCGGUUAAAAAGCUCGUAGUUGGAUUACGAAGUGGUGUUUAAAUGUCAUUUUGGUUUGUUUGUCUUUCGGGGCAUUCAGGUCAACUUGGCUUUUACUCACUGUUGUCAUUGUCUUUGCCCAAGGUUUAUGCCUUGUGUGCAUGGCAUUGACCUUCUAUUUUAUGGUAAUGUUGUAUCUUUCGGGGUACAUUCAUUCCAUAUAGUUUACUUUGAAAAAAUUAGGGUGUUUAAAGCAGGCGAAAAGGCUUCGGAAUAUAUUAGCAUGGGAUAAUAGAAUACGAUCUAGGUCGUAAUUUGUUGGUUUCUACGGCUUAGGUAAUGAUUGACAGGGAUAGUUGGGGUCGCUCGUAUUGAGUUGUCAGAGGUGAAAUUCUAGGAUUAACUCAAGACGAACUAAUGCGAAAGCAUUCGGCAAGGAUGUUUUCAUUAAUCAAGAACGAAAGUUGGGGGAUCGAAGAUGAUCAGAUACCGUCGUAGUCUCAGCUGUAAACUAUGUCGACCGAGGAUCCGGUAGCGUUACAUGGAUGACCUUCCGGGCACUCUGUGAGAAAUCAUAAGUAUUUGGAUUUCGGGGGGAGUAUGGUCGCAAGGCUGAAACUUAAAGGGAUUGACGAAAGGGCACCACCAGGAGUGGAAUCUGCGGCUUAAUUUGACCCAACACGGGAAAACUUACCAGGUCCGGACACAGUGAGGAUUGACAGAUUGAGAGCUCUUUCUUGAUUUUGUGGGUGGUGGUGCAUGGCCGUUUUUAGUUGGUGGAGUGAUUUGUCUGGUUAAUUCCGUUAACGAACGAGACCUUAACCUAUUAAAUAGCUGCGCGAACCCAGGUUC